rnacentral:rRNA from 1 species
GACUCGUCACACUAUCAUUAACUGAAUCCAUAGGUUAAUGAGGCGAACCGGGGGAACUGAAACAUCUAAGUACCCCGAGGAAAAGAAAUCAACCGAGAUUCCCCCAGUAGCGGCGAGCGAACGGGGAGGAGCCCAGAGCCUGAAUCAGCAUGUGUGUUAGUGGAAGCGUCUGGAAAGGCGCGCGAUACAGGGUGACAGCCCCGUACACAAAAGCGCAUGUGCUGUGAGCUCGAUGAGUAGGGCGGGACACGUGGUAUCCUGUCUGAAUAUGGGGGGACCAUCCUCCAAGGCUAAAUACUCCUGACUGACCGAUAGUGAACCAGUACCGUGAGGGAAAGGCGAAAAGAACCCCGGCGAGGGGAGUGAAAAAGAACCUGAAACCGUGUACGUACAAGCAGUGGGAGCACAGGUUUACCUGUGUGACUGCGUACCUUUUGUAUAAUGGGUCAGCGACUUAUAUUCUGUAGCAAGGUUAACCGAAUAGGGGAGCCGGAGGGAAACCGAGUCUUAAUUGGGCGUUAAGUUGCAGGGUAUAGACCCGAAACCCGGUGAUCUAGCCAUGGGCAGGUUGAAGGUUGGGUAACACUAACUGGAGGACCGAACCGACUAAUGUUGAAAAAUUAGCGGAUGACCUGUGGCUGGGGGUGAAAGGCCAAUCAAACCGGGAGAUAGCUGGUUCUCCCCGAAAGCUAUUUAGGUAGCGCCUCGUGAAUUCAUCUCCGGGGGUAGAGCACUGUUUCGGCUAGGGGGCCAUCCCGGCUUACCAACCCGAUGCAAACUGCGAAUACCGGAGAAUGUUAUCACGGGAGACACACGGCGGGUGCUAACGUCCGUCGUGAAGAGGGAAACAACCCAGACCGCCAGCUAAGGUCCCAAAGUCAUGGUUAAGUGGGAAACGAUGUGGGAAGGCCCAGACAGCCAGGAUGUUGGCUUAGAAGCAGCCAUCAUUUAAAGAAAGCGUAAUAGCUCACUGGUCGAGUCGGCCUGCGCGGAAGAUGUAACGGGGCUAAACCAUGCACCGAAGCUGCGGCAGCGACGCUGAUGCGUUGUUGGGUAGGGGAGCGUUCUGUAAGCCUGUGAAGGUGGCCUGUGAGGGUUGCUGGAGGUAUCAGAAGUGCGAAUGCUGACAUAAGUAACGAUAAAGCGGGUGAAAAGCCCGCUCGCCGGAAGACCAAGGGUUCCUGUCCAACGUUAAUCGGGGCAGGGUGAGUCGACCCCUAAGGCGAGGCCGAAAGGCGUAGUCGAUGGGAAACGGGUUAAUAUUCCCGUACUUGGUGUUACUGCGAAGGGGGGACGGAGAAGGCUAUGUUGGCCGGGCGACGGUUGUCCCGGUUUAAGCGUGUAGGUGUGUGUUCCAGGUAAAUCCGGUU